rnacentral:rRNA from 1 species
UGAGUGUUUUAGCUUCGUGGUGACACAGUGAGAUUGCCUGGCGCGGUGAUGGUUUACCGUGUUCAAGCCCCUAGCCUGUCUUCUAGGUCAAAUCCGGCAGACGCGUAUGGUGAGAGGUGAUGGUGGGGCCCGUUUAGGGCCGAUAACAGGGUUGGUCUGUACUGUCGAGAAAAGCUGCGUUGUGA